AAGAUACUCCCUCCGUCUGGAAAUACUUGUCAUUAAAAUGGAUAAAAAGGAAAUAUAUCUAAACGUAUUUUAGUUUUAGAUACAUCUUUUUUUAUCCAUUUUGAUGACAAGUAUUUUCGGAUGAAGGGAGUACAUG
rfam:Triticum urartu cultivar G1812 contig398626, whole genome shotgun sequence.